UACGAAGGGGGCUAGCGUUGCUCGGAAUCACUGGGCGUAAAGGGUGCGUAGGCGGGUCUUUUAAGUCAGGGGUGAAAUCCUGGAGCUCAACUCCAGAACUGCCUUUGAUACUGAGGAUCUUGAGUUCGGGAGAGGUGAGUGGAACUGCGAGUGUAGAGGUGAAAUUCGUAGAUAUUCGCAAGAACACCAGUGGCGAAGGCGGCUCACUGGCCCGGUACUGACGCUGAGGUGCGAAAGCG
rnacentral:rRNA from 1 species